GUUGGAGGAAAAAUUUGGACAGAUAGCUAUUUCAAAUGUUGCAUAAAUCCAACGAUCAUAAUUUUUGCUCAUCUGCCAUGUGAUCUGUCUUUUGUACUCUGUUGAAAGACAUCAGAUGAUGAAGUGGACCCUGGCAAGUGCAGCCUGCAGAAGGGCAGACCUUUAAACCUGGGAAAAGCUAAUGAAGAUGCAGUAAACCUGAAACAUACUAAAAGAAUAUGUAAAUAUGUAAAUGAAAGUGAGUUUCAGUUGCAGAAAAAGUUCCUCAGUUUAGAAGCUGUUAAUGAAGAAUGUGAAUGUUCUAAAAUAUUUCACAAAGGAGGCAUCUCUUGUUCUGAGACAGAAGUAACACUUAAAAAAAUGGAAUGUGAAGAUGGCCGAAUAGGAACAGCUCUGGUCUACAGCUCCCAGCAUGAGCAACGCAGAAGACGGGUGAUUUCUGCAUUUCCAUCUGAGGUACCGGGUUUGUCUCACUAGGGAGUGCCAGACAGUGGGCGCAGGUCAGUGGGUGCACGCACGGCGAGGCAUUACCUCACUCGGGAAGUGCAAGGAGUCAGGGAGUUCCCUUUCCUAGUCAAAGAAAGGGGUGACAGACAGCACCUGGAAAGUUGGGUCACUCCCACCCAAAUACUGCGCUUUUCCAAGGGGCUUAAAAAACGGUGCACCAGGAGAUUAUAUCCCGCACCUGGCUCGGAGGGUCCUACGCCCAUGGAGUCUCGCUGAUUGCUAGCACAGCAGUCUGAGAUCAAACUGCAAGGCUGCAGUGAGGCUGGGGGAGGGGCACCCGCCAUUGCCCAGGCUUGCUUAAGUAAACAAAGCAGCUGGGAAGCUCAAAC
rnacentral:lncRNA from 10 species